GACAACUUCUAACGGUGGAUCUCUCGGCUCGUGUGUCGAUGACGAACGCAGCCAACUGCGAUACGUAGUGUGAAUUGCAGAAUCUUGUGAAUCAUUGAAUUUUCUUAACGCGAAUGGCGCUUUGAGCUUGCUCAAGGCAUGUCUGUCUGAGGGUCGUUU
rnacentral:rRNA from 1 species